GGRAUGUAGCAAUACAUUUAGUGGCGAACGGGUGAGUAACGCGUGGAUGAUCUACCUAUGAGAUGGGGAUAACUAYUAGAAAUAGUAGCUAAUACCGAAUAAGGUCAAUUAAUUUGUUAAUUGAUGAAAGGAAGCCUUUAAAGCUUCGCUUGUAGAUGAGUCUGCGUCUUAUUAGUUAGUUGGUGGGGUAAAUGCCUACCAAGRCGAUGAUAAGUAACCGGCCUGAGAGGGUGAACGGUCACACUGGAACUGAGAUACGGUCCAGACUCCUACGGGAGGCAGCAGCUAAGAAUCUUCCGCAAUGGGCGAAAGCCUGACGGAGCGACACUGCGUGAAUGAAGAAGGUCGAAAGAUUGUAAAAUUCUUUUAUAAAUGAGGAAUAAGCUUUGUAGGAAAUGACAAAGYGAUGACGUUAAUUUAUGAAUAAGCCCCGGCUAA
rnacentral:rRNA from 1 species